CACUGUGCAAGAAACCAAGGGGAAUGACACUUCAGGACGGCAAAUGAAAAGCCUGAUGGCAGAAACCCUAGCAAAGUCAACCAACACACAUUCCCAGAUCCCAAAUGCAGACCGUAGAGAUCUGACUUAAUUUUCAAUAUGCUAAAGGUAAAGUGGAGUCCCUGGGUGGCGCAAAUGGUUAAACACUGGGCAACUAACCAAAAGGUUGAAAUGCAAGGUGCCUUGGGAGAAAGGCCUGGCAACCUGUUUCCAAAAGUCACAGUUAUGAAAACCCUACAAGCUACUCUAUACACACAGGGUUGCUAUGAGUCAAAAUCGACUACAUAGCAACUGGUUAGUUGGUUAACAGUCAGGCGGGUACCCAAGAUUUCAGACAAGUCAAAACGCUUCUUUAAGAUACCAAGGUGCCAGGAAAAGGCAGUCUUUGUCAGUUACUAACAAAGCUGAAGGUUGCACUGGGUGGACCAUCUUACUGGUUCCUUCAUUACUUACUUACUUAAAAUCUUUGACACAGGUUCAUUUUACAUUUGUUCAAGAGCCAUGAUUUCAUCUUUUUUUUUCUUUCUUUCUUACUCUUGGAGAGUUUUGGAGGUCAUCCUUCAAGACACCCAUGGACCUACCAAACAGAGCCAGGUAAACUGCAUUCACGAAGCGGUUAGGCCAGGUGUGUCUUCUCUUGGUUCCCAGAGCAAAUCCAAAGCAGCAAGAGACAUUCUUUAGUUUUUAUUCUCUGUACCGAUUUUGUGCUUUAUGUUUUCUUCUAGUUCAUGCCCGGCUUACAAGUUAUUCCCUUGGUGGCAGCAGUGAUAGGAAAUUUGGUUCCAUGGGCUGACAAUUUGGUGGUUUUUAAUAUGUGAUUAUAGAUAUCUACUCUCUGCUGGGUGAGAGGGAACACAGAAUGUGGUUUCUUGGUCUUCUGUGUUUGUAUAUUUGCCUGUUUUGAGCCCAAAAUCAAUUAAGAAUUUAGUACCUUCUGAGAAGAGCAGUUCUUUGCUAAGUGGACUAGUGAUUGCAUGUUUCUGUGUAAUUCAGAAAGGCCUGUACAUCUAGUUGUGUAUGAAAUGUUUUCCUAUUUCCUGUCAAAAAAACCCAUUGCCAGGGAAGAAUGAAGAAAACACAAGAAGACACAAGGGAAAGAUUAGUCCAAAGGACUAAUGAACCAUAUCUACCAUGGCCUCCACCAGACUGAGUCCAGCACAAUUAGAUGGUGCCCGACUACCACCACUGACUGCUCUGACAGGGAUCACAAUAGAGGGUCCUGGACAGAGCUGGAGAAAAAUGUAGAAUAAACUUCUAACUCAGGAAGAAAGAACAGAGUUGCUGGCCUGACAGAGACUGGAGAAGCCCUGAGAGUAUGGCCCCCGGCCACCCUUUCAGCUCAGUAAUGAAGUCACUCCUGAGGUUCACCCUUCAGCCAAAGAUUGAACAGGCCCAUAAAACAAAAUGAGACUAAAGGGGCACACCAGCCCUGGGGCAGGAACUAGGAGGCAGGAGGGGACAGGAAGGCUGGUAAAACAGAACCCAGGGUUGAAAAGGAAGAGUAUUGACAUGUUGCGGGGUUGUUAACCAAUGUCACAGAACAAUGUGUGUACUGACUGUUUAAUGAGAAACUAGUUUGUUUUGUAAACCUUUAUCUAAAGUACGAUCUACCCGUUGCCGUGGAGUAGAUUCUGACUCAUAGCGACCCUACAGGACAGAGUAGAACUGUUUCAUAGGUUUUCCAAGGAACAGCUGGUGGAUUUGAACUGCUGACCUUUUGGUUAGCAGCCAGCUCUUAAUCACUGUGCUACCAGUAUCAAUAAAUUAGAUUAUAGCAGUUCUUAAAUUAACAUCUUCUGAUUGACUGAUAAUAAAAAUAAACAAGUGCUUACCUGAAGUGAAUAUUCCUAAAAUUCACAGAAAAUAAGGAAAUUGAACCUCUCAUGCUUUAAAUGUGCUAGACUUAAAAUUCUUCUUACAGAAAAGCUAACUCAAUUACACUUUAAGAAUCUAAAUUAAAAAAUUAAGGUAAGUCUUUGGCAAAUGAGGCUAGUAUAAUAGGUUUUAAAAAAGUUAUAUCCUCAGUUCAUCAGCGUUAAUAUAAAUGUACCUUUUAUUUUACUUGGGUUUAUUUCCCCUAAACUUAUACAGCUUACUGGUCAAAUAAGCUGAUGUUGUUGUGUUGUUAGCUGCUGUCAGAUCAGCCUCUGACUCAUGACGACCCUCUGCAGAAUCAGACUGUUGGGAUUCAUAGGAUCUUUGCUGGCUGAUUUUCUAAAGUGGAUCACCAGGCCUUUCUUCCUAAUUUAUCAUAGUCUGGAAGCUCUGCUGAAACCUGUUCAGCAUCAUGGCAACACUGAAGCCUCCAUUGGCAGAUGGGAAUUUGAGCCUAGAAUCCAAGAAUUCUACCACGGAGCCACCACUUCCCCCAAGCUAAUAUUAUUCCUGCAUAGUGUUUAAGAUUAUAAAAUACAAUAAAUUUGUGUUCAAUUAAAUUGAACAAUUAUUCUAGCAAACUUUAUAAUCAGUAAUUAUGUUUUGUAGGGUAUUAAAGAGAAUUUCUAAGAUCUUUAGCUAACUUAAAAUGGACUAAGUUGAGCUAACUGAUGGAUAAUCAUUUGAUGUCUUACAUUUCUAAGAAUACUAAAACUUGGAUUACACAGAAUAAUAUUAAGUUUACAUAUGCUCGCUUAUUUUUAUAUGCUACAGAGAGGCUAUUAAUUUUGGGUCAUGUCAAUCAAAGUGUUCACUCUUGCCAUUUGAAAGAGAUGGGAAUUCCAGAACACUUAAUUGUGUUCGUAAGGAACCUUUCCAUAGACCAAGAGGCAGUCGUUUGAAAAGAACAAGGAGAUACUGUGUGUUUUAAAGUCAGGAAAGGUGUGUGUCAGGGUUGUAUCCUUUCACCAUACUUAUUCAAUGUGAAUGCUGAGCAAAUAAUCCAAGAAGCUGUACUAUAUGUAGAAGAAUGGGGCAUCAGGAUUGGAGGAAGACUCAUUAAGAACCUGUGUUAUGCAGAUGACACAACCUUGCCUGCUAAAGUGAAGAGGACCUGAAGCACUUAGUCAUGAAAAUCAAAGACUACAGCUUUCACUAUGGAUUGCACCUCAACAUAAAGAAAACAAAAAUCCUCACAACUGGACCCAUAAGUGACAUCAUGAUAAAUGGAGAAAAGACUGAAGUUGUCAAGGAUUUCAUUUUACUUGGAUCUACAAUCAACAUCCAUAGAAGCAGCAGGCAAGAAAUCAAAUGACAUUUACUGCACUGGGCAAAUCUGCUGCAAAAGACCUCUCUUUAAAGUAUUAAAAAGCAAAGAUGUCACUUUAAGGACUAAGGUGCGCCUGGCCCAAGGCAUGGUGUUUUCAGUCACCUCACACUUACGCGAAAGCUGGACAAUGAAUAAGGAAGACUGAAGAACUGAUGCCUUUGAAUUAUGGUGUUGAUGAAGAAUAUUGAAUGUACCAUGGACUGCCAGAAGAACAAGCAAAUCUGCACUGGAAGAAGUACAACCAGGAUGCUCCUUAGAGGCAGGGAUGGUGACUUCGUCUCUUACACUCUGGACAUGUUAUCAGGGGGGAUCGGUCCCUGGUGAAGGACAUCAUGCUUGGUAAAGUAGAGGGUCAGUGAAAGAGAGGAAGACCGCCAACGAGACAGACUGACAGAGUGGCUGCAAUAAUGGACUUGAACAGAGGAUGGUACAGGACCAGGCAGUGCUUCGUUCUGUUGUACAUGUGGUUGCUGUGAGUCGGAACCCACCUAACAACAACAAAAGCGAUGUAUGUUGAAGUAGAAAUUUGUGUUAUGGGUGUUCAUGGGCUUUUAUAUUGUGCUGAAAUGCUUGUACAUGACAGUCAGUUCUCAAUUAUUCAUUUCCUCCCACCCCCAUUUUUCUCUGUGAAAUAUAAGCUAGUUACUUUGGAUGGUAAUUUUAACUGAAAUGAGUAGCUGAGACUAUGACAGGAGCAAUCAUGCCAAAGAAAUACAGCUGCGUAUGCACUUCAGUUUUUGAAAGAAAAAGAGAAUAGUUUUUUUGUCUUAAAGUGGUGGUUUUCAAACUUUUUGGUCUCAGGAUCUCUUUACAGUUGUAAAAUGUAUUUGUGGAUACCAAAAAGUUUUCAUUUAAACGAAUGAUAACUAUUGGUAUUUAUUGUAUUUGAAAUUAAAACAGAAAUUAAAAAAAAGAUUCAUUUGAAAAAAAGCAAUGAUGAACCCAUUGCAUGUUAACAUAUUUUGUGAAAAAUAGCUAUAUUGUCUAAAACAGAAUUCUUAUGAGAAAAUGACAUUGUUUUACAUUUUUGCAGAUCUUUCUAAUGUCUGGCUUACUAACAGAGAUCCAGAUACUCAUCUCUCGGCAUGUGCUGUGUAUCACGCACCACGUAGCUUCUGGAAAACUCCACUGUAUACUUCUGAGAGAAUGAGAAUGAAAAAGGCAAUUCUAAAGUAAAGUGUCAGUUUGUUCCAGAACAUGAAAGAAAAAAAUGAAAGACAAAACCUGGAAAGGGAAUUUUAUUUGCUUUUGUUUACAAUACUUGAGUCUGAAAAGACGUUAUGGGAUGCAUUAAAAUUUUGGCAAUGUUCCCUUAGUUUUGAUGAGUUGGCUUCCUUGGUUUACUUAUUGAUCAGUGCCUGUGGCUACAAUGAGAAAGGAUAUUCUUUGCCUUCCGUGGAAUCUGCAGAGCUGGCAGAGGUUCUGAGUCUGAUGGAAUUAUUUUCAGUGCUUUAUCUUGAUGUCGGAAACCCUGGUGGCGUAAUGGUUAAUACUACAGCUGCUAGCCAAAGGUCAGCAGUUUGAAUCCACCAGGUGCUCCGUGGAAACUCUACAGGGCAGUUCUACACUGUUCUAUAGGGUCGCUAUGAGUCAGAAUUGACUCAACGGCAAUGGGGUGGGGUAUCUUGAAGUCUAAAGUCCUUGAUUAUUUAAGAAAAACAAACAAAAAAAGCACAAAGGCUCCUCACUUAUGAAAGAGCUAAAUUCUUUAAACUCAUAUCACUUUCCAGAUUUAUCUUUAAAUGUUCCAUGUGGCUUUGAUUACAUGAUAAGCAGGUAUUGUUUCCUGGACACCUGUGCUCCUACCAGAGGUAAGUGCCUGAGCCUCCUCUGGCAGCUCUGUUGGCUAUGCCUUCCCAGGUUGGGUCCUAUAUUCUGAAAAAAUAAAAGUUUAAGAUUUUUUUACACCUAAAAUGAUCUCUGAGAUUUCCCAAAGGGGUCCUAGAAAAGCAUAAAGAUUUGCCCCUUCACCUCACAAAAAGAGAUGCUAUAAAUAACGAGGUUUAUUUGCUGCCUUACCAUGUUAGGAGCUGCAUGUACGGGGCAGCUGUCGGGUCAGAAGAGCGGCCCGGCCUCCCCAGGUGAAGUCUGUACCCAGCUGCCGCGGAGCGCUCAGACUGACGGCGACCCCGUGUGUGUCAGAGGACAACUGUGGUCCACAUGCGUACGGGGCAGGUGUCGGAUGAGAAGAGCGGCCCGGCCUCCCCAGGUGAAGUCUGUACCCAGCUGCCGCGGAGCGGCUCCGACUGACGGCGACCCCGUGUGUGUCAGAGGACAACUGUGGUCCACAUGCGUACGGGGCAGCUGUCGGGUCAGAAGAGUGGCCCGGCCUCCCUCAGGUGAAGUCUGUACCCAGCUGCCGCGGAGCGCUCAGACUGACGGCGACCCCGUGUGUGUCAGAGGACAACUGUGGUCCACAUGCGUACGGGGCAGCUGUCAGGUCAGAGAGCGGCCCGGCCUCCCUCAGGUGAAGUCUGUACCCAGCUGCCGCGGAGCGGCUCCUACUGACGGCGACCCCGUGCGUGUCAGAGGACAACUGUGGUCCACAUGCUUUUCAGGGGCUGCUAUUUUGGGAACAGACUGCCAGGACUUUCUUCGGAGGAGCCUCUGGGUGGACUUCAACCACCAAUUUUUCAGUUAGCAGCUGAGCAUGUUAACUGUUUGCACUACCCAGACCCUGUAUGAGCAAAUGUUAUUAACGUAAGUAUUUCAGAAAUUGUAUGCCUUAUAAGACGACUCUGGAGAUCUGUCAGGGCAGCCCCUGGAUUACGACGGAGUUCUAUUCCUGUCUUUAAGUUGAAUUUGUCCAUAAGUCAGAACAGUUAGGUACGGUUUGUGUCUAACCUCAGUUAAUCAAAUGUUUGUCUUGGUAUGUAGUAUAUAAUGUACCUUUCCAUGCAUAAAAAAUGGUAACGAAACACUUCCAGGUACACUAAAAUAUCUUUAAAACAAUAAUACAGUAAUAACAAUAAUGUUUUGAUAUGUGUUGCAAAGCAGCACCUGUUUGUUAUUACAAACCACUGUAUGUACCUGGAAUUUUUAAUAUAAUAGGCUUUACAGGGGUUAGUUCAUAACUACGGGUACUAUAUAAGUCGGGCGUUCAUAAACCUGGGACUGCCUGUAAUAUAUUUUUACCCUCAGGGGAAACCCUGAUCAAAACUCUUAUGAAAUAGUUAUGCAGGGUACCCCAAUAGGAGGGUACCCACUCUACUCCAUUCUAAUAUUAUUGGUCACUAUAGUAAACUGACCACUAAGCCAUUACAUCUGUCAUCUUACAGACAACUUUCCUGUUACUCUAAUGCUUGCCUGAAGGCUCUGCUCGAAGCCACAGGCUUGUAUGUGACUUAACCAAAGGACGUCUCAGAGUUUCUUGGGAAAGCACGAUACGACCAGCAACCAGAGGAUGGGGCCAGGAAUCACUGAACAAAUUCCGCGGUGAUUCUUUGUGCACAGCAAAGUCUGUGAACUGCUCCAAGGAAACGUGAAGCUUUCUCUGCUCUCGAUCUCAGUCCUCUAAAAUGCAUCCCUUAAGGAAGAAGAGCCUGAUACAGAUCAAGGUUGUGAAGAAUUUGAGGACAAUGACUGAGCCUUUUACUUCUGUGACUGAGAGCAGUGGCUGAGAUCAACCAAGGAGAGCACAGAGUGAAAAGAGGAGAGGGCCCAGGGAGACCCUGGGAUGCCACCACCCACAAAGGAGACAGAGACUGAGAAGGAGGAGGAAAGCUGGGAGAAUGGGUCACCAAAGCCAGAGGAGGCAGUUACAGCAUGUAGGAAUGGCCGCAAGCUGAGGCAUACAGAUCUGAGCUGCAGACUGUCCUGAUGUCAGCACUUGUGUCAGCAGGGGCCGUCACUUCAGGCGAGGUCACCUCACUCCCCUCUGCCUACAGAGUAACCUCGAAGACUUGUGCCUGAGGAAAAAGUCUAUGAGCAUCUUAUUUACACAAAAAAGAAACAAAACAAAACCCCCCAAAACUUUCAAUUGCACAUACCCAAAAUUGCCAUGAAAGAAAGUCAACAGCAAAGUUCCCACCAAAGGACUCCGUCCAGCAAAGGAUACUGCAGGCCCGAGGCCACUGCACUGGUGCGAUAACCUCCCAGGAGCUGUCCACUCUCGGAGCAGUGCCAGGCAAACUGCUUGUCCUGUCCCGUGCUCAGCACCCACUCCAGUUCCAGGACAAACAGGAUCAUCGUCACUCUGCUCUGAUGUGCUGAAAACCAAGACACAAAACAGCCCAUGAAGCAUCUUACAGGAGGUUGUAAAGUGCAGUCCACAAGAGCACCAUUCUCGUCUCCCCACUCCAGAUCAAGCUCCACAGUACGGCAACCACUGCAAACACACGGUCCUCGAUCCAUUCUGAGUUGAUUUUCACAUAUGGCGUGACUCAGGAGGUGAGAAUUAUCUGAUAAACAAGGUAAAUACGGGCUUACUUGUGCUUAUUUACUAACCUGCAGUAAACAAAUUCACAUUUUUCAUCUAAUCAAAGCUUCUGCUUCUAGGUAUGGCUGGCAUCUGUCUCUCUUCCAAGCUCACAGCACCUUCCUACAGAAUAAACACCUGUUUUGAAAUUUACAAUCCCUGUCUGGGCAGAUUACCUAGUAGCAAGAUAAACUAGAGUAGUAAUCAUGCAAAAGUAAGGCCCUGCUUGCCUUGCUUAUCGGGUAAUCUGCCCCUGGGUGUGCGGUAUGAAAAGUAGGAGUCGAAUUUUAUUAUUUUUCCCAAAAGCACAGCCAAUGAUCACAUAACCAUGCUUUGACUAAUUCAUCCUUACCCUGUAGUCUAAAAUGCUGUAUAUUUAAGUAGGAAAUGCUGAUAUUUACACGCCUAUAUUUCUGGAUUCUCUAUUUCAGCCCAUUAUCUAUCCCUCCACUAGUACCAUGUUGUUUUUUUUAUACUUUUUAUUGUGUUUUAAGUGAAAGUUUGCAAAUCAAGUCAGUCUCUCACACAAAAACCCAUAUACACCUUUACACCUUGCUACACACUCCCAAUUACUCUCCCCCAAUGAGACAGCCCACUCUCUCCCUCCACUCUCUCUUUUUGUGUCCAUUUCGCCAACUUCUAACCGCCUCCACCCUCUCAUCUCCCCUCCAGGCAGGAGAUGCCAACAUAGUCUCAAGUGUUCAUCUGAUCCAAGAAGUUCACUCCUCACCAGCAUCCCUCUCCAACCCAUCGUCCAGUACAAUCCACGUCUGAAGAGUUCGCUUCGGGAAUGGUUCCUGUCCUGGGCCAGCAGAAGGUCUGGUGGCCAUGACCACCGGGAUCCUUCUAGUCUCAGUCAGACCAUUAAGUCUGGUAUUAUGAGAAUUUGGGGUCUGCAUGCCACUGCUCUCCUGCUCCCUCAGGGGUUCUCUGUUGUGUUCCCUCUCAGGGCAGUCACUGGUUGUAGCCGGGCACCAUCUAGUUCUUCUGGUCUCAAGACGAUGUAAUCUCUAGUUCAUCUGGCCCUUUCUGUCUCUUGGGCUUGAAAUCACCGUGUGUCCUUGGUGUUCUUCAUUCUCCUUUGAUCCAAGUGGGCUGAGACCAAUUGAUGCAUCUUAGAUGGCUGCUUGCUAGCGUUUAAGACCCCAGAUGCCACUCUUCAAAGUGGGAUGCACAAUGUUUUCUAAAUAGAUUUUAUUAUGCCAAUUGACUUAGAUGUCCCCUGAAACCAUGGUUCCCAGACCCCUGCCCCUGCUACACUGGCCUUUGAAGCAUUCAGUUUAUUCAGGAAACUUCUUUGCUUUUGGUUGAGUCCAAUUGUGCUGACCUUCCCUGUAUUGUGUGCUGUCUUUCCCUUCACUUAA